CCGCGAACUUUUAAACCUUUGAUGAUUGACCCACGUUGCCUCGGCGGGCUCGCCCGCCAGAGGAUACAUCAAAACUCCUGUUUUAACGGUGUUGUCUGAGCUACAAGCAACGAAUUAAAACUUUCAACAACGGAUCUCUUGGUUCUGGCAUCGAUGAAGAACGCAGCGAAAUGCGAUAAGUAGUGUGAAUUGCAGAAUUCAGUGAAUCAUCGAAUCUUUGAACGCACAUUGCGCCCCUUGGUAUCCCGAGGGGCAUGCCUGUUCGAGCGUCAUUUCACCAUUCAAGCCUGGCUUGGUGUUGGGCGACGUCCCCUUUAGGGACGCGCUUUGAAACGCUCGGCGGCGUGGCACCGGCUUUAAGCGUAGCAGAAUCUUUCGCUUUGAAAGUCGGGGCCCCGUCUGCCGGAAGACCUACUCAAGGUUGACCUCGGAUCAGGUAGGGAUACCCGCUGAACUUAAGCAUAUCAAUAAGCGGAGGAA
rnacentral:rRNA from 1 species